AGCAUGCCGCGGUGAAUACGUUCUCGGGCCUUGUACACACCGCCCGUCACACCAUGGGAGUCGGUAACACCCGAAGUCUGUAGCCUGACGCAAGAGGGCGCAGCCGAAGGUGGGAUUGAUGACUGGGGUGAAGUCGUAACAAGGUACC
rnacentral:rRNA from 1 species